rnacentral:tRNA from 1 species
UAUCCUUUAGUAUAGGUUGUACAUCAAUUUUUGAUAUUGACAGAAAUAGUUAAACUCUAUUAGGGGUAA